UUUUUGUUCAAGGAGGAAGUUUAUUUCUUUACAAAACAAGAGCGCAGACUCAGAAAAGAGCUCAGACAGAGGGCAGGAAGGAAAAUCUACACCACAACAUUCAACCACUUAGAAAAUAUAGAGGACCUCUGUUCACGUACCGAAACACACGAUCUGCACACCAUCUACACCGUAAAAAAAGACCAGCCCAGCCAGACGUUGGGAAUGCAAUGAAGAGGCCAAAACGAGUGAAACAGUCCAGGUAGAUUUAAACUCUGUAGAGACAAUGAGAGCGUUUCUUUAUCUGUACUUAAGUUUAACUUUUAAUUUGUGUUUCCUGUCUUUAAGAGACUUUACCGUAAAAGUCAAAUUUUAAGUUGGGAAACAAUAAAAGUUUUUUUUAUUUUUUAUAAGUUUAAAAUAUUUUGGAGGAUUUGUGUUUGAUUAAAGUUAAAGUCCCUCUUUAACAUUUUUAAAGAUUUUUAACCAUUUUGUUUAUUUUCUCUCUUUUCUUUUGAGAGCAAGAAAAUAAAACUCAGAAAUCAGAUUCAUUUUUUAGCCCAAAAAAAAUUCAAGAAAGAAAUUCAAGCGUGAGCAAACAUUCAAACAGUAUUUAACACUAUUUUUUAGUGUAUGUUACUGUUAUCAGCAGGUAACGAUAACGCUGCAGAGAGAAAGACGUGUGACUUUAACGUCCCCCAAAAACGAUGAACUCUUUCAAAACCACGACACAGAAGAAUAGCAGAGAAAACAAGACGCACUCUUCAUUUAGAUUUUAAGAUUUACGCUGCAAAUAAAAGACUUAACAGUUUGAGGACGUUAAACCAAAUUAUCGGCGCAGAGAGUGUGUUUGAGAACGCCAGCGUGGAGUAUAGAGAACGCUGUUUACGCAUUUCAGGAGAUUUUAAUAUAUUUCAGGUGAUUUAGAAUAUAUUUUUAAAACAUACAUCAGGUGAUUUUAAACCUACUCCUUUUGAUAUUAAUUAUUUUUCAGGUGAUUUUAACCAUUUGAGGUGAUUUUAAAUCUGCACCCUUUGAUUUGAAUGAUAUAUCAGGUGAUUUUAAUUAUAUUUCAGGUGAUUUGAAACAUAUUUUAGGUGAUUUUUAACCUACUCCUUUUGAUUUUAAACCUAUGCCAGGUGAUUUUAAACAUAUUUCAAGUGAUUUUAAUUAUAUUUUAGGUGAUAUUAAUCAUAUUACUGGUGAUUCUAAAAAUAUUGUAAGUGUUUUUAAACCUACUUCCUUUGAUUUUAAUUUCAUUUUAGGUGGUUUUAAUUAUCUGUAUUGGAGACUGGUGCCUGCGCAGAUCAGUUUGACAGACCUUUAAACAGACACCUGCACAGGAAUCUAGUUCAGUAUUCCACUCAUGAGCGAGGGUGGAUUUUUCCUUCGAGCGCUUGGUGUGAACAAAAGAAAACAACAGGAAUGAAAGAGUUGAGGGGAAAGCAGCAGCUCAAAGGCAGAGUUCAGCUCCAAAGCAGCUGCAGUCCAUGAAACUCAACACAGAGAAAAGAGGAAGGGAAACCAGAAACAAACAAACAAACAAACAAGACACCAGUCCCCACUCCAUUAAAGGGUAGAAAACAGCAGAGACGACUGCUGGAGCUUCUAAUCCUAUGUAAACAGGCAUAGUGUAAGGCAAGGAGGAAGAGGAGGAGGAGGAGGAGGAGGAGGGAGAGAGGCUGCAGUGAGGGAUGAAGGUGUGGGAGGAAGACGAUGAAGAGGAGGAGGAAAGUGAUCAGGAUGAGUAAGCAGAGAGAGGUGGACAGGCGAAGAGGAGGAGGAGGAAGACGAUGAACAGCAGGAUGUAGAUGGCUAAGAAGCAGACGGCAGAGUUAAAGGGAUCAGACGAAGGCUCAGAGGAUCAAACUGCUGCAGGAACCUGAAGGAGGAAGAGACGGAUCCGUCCUCUUGUGACCAUUCAAAUCUGUCUGUGGCUAAAAUGAGGAGGUCACUUUAAAAUCUGUUUCAGCCCGAUGGACUUUAUGGGGUUCUCUUUGAGGUCAAACUGAAGGUAUCAGAAUCAGAUCUUUCAAAGCUUCAUUAGGAGACAUCAUGAAAACCUGACAACUCCGGGUCUUUCUGCAUCUGUCUUACAUCGUUUAUGGGUUUACAGUGAAUCGGCUCUGAAGCGUCCCUAAUAAAGUGACCCUCUCUGUAUCAGUAAAACUGGCCUACUCCUUAUCAUAUUUUAAAAUCAGCUCCUGAUUUAUAAAUAAAGAAACAAACAUCAGCGCUGACUCGAACAGUUAAAGUUUAAGAAAAUAAAAAGUUGUUUUUGGACCUUAAAGACGUUUCUAAAUCUUUCUAAAUCAAUAUCAAACAUUUAACAGGAGAAUCUCUGAAGGUUAAUUAACUUUUGAAUCUCUCUCACCUGAUUAAAAAGAAAAACACUUCAGAGAAUAAAUCUAUAAUAAUAUCUAUGUUUCAGAUCAGUAAAUAAGAGUGAAAUGACGACAGGACGGGGACUCUGUGAUCCUCCUCCUCCUCCUCCUCCUUGGUGUGUUUGGGAUUACUGUUGUGGACUGGCUCUCUGAAAACCUCCUGCUCCUUAUGAAGUCUUUUGAUGUUUCCUGCAUCUCUCUCUGCUGCGUUUACUACAGGAGCUUAAUUGAUGUCUCAUCUUCUCAUUCCCUUCUCGUCUCUUGCCGCUCUCUCAUCUUUAUCUUGAUGGAUUAGCUACAUUUCUUCCUGUCUCCUCUCCCCGUCGUCUCAUGGAUUUAGAAAGAAUGAGACUCGAAGAGGAGAAACAAAUUGGAAAAGUGUGUUCUCUGAGAUUUAUUUCUUUUCUCUCUUAUUCAGCAGGACAGCUGCAGCUCGUCCGUCUCUGUCCUGUUUCUGUCUAUUCCUGUGUGCUCUUUCAGCAGCUGAUAAUUACAGCCCUCACUGUUGUUUCGGGGGAAACACGCUCCAUUAACACACAGCCCAGCCAUUCAGAUGAAGGACUAAUGGAGCUGUGAGAGCUGGGGUGAACUGAUCAGCACCUGUUGACGAGAAACCAAAGCCAUAAAGCUGCAGAGGAGGAGGGGGGAUGAAUAAAUGUGGCAGCAAAAGCAGCUGAUAUGUAAAAGCCGCUGCAGGAAACUCAGGUUCACCUGGAGCGAAAAUUUAAGGAGACUGUGGAUAGACGAAGAUCGACCGCUUUACAGCAGCUCCUCAGUCUCCAAACGGCAGAGAAGUCAUCGAAGCAUUUAUAGCAUCAAUGACAAAACGACUUCAAACUUCUGAAGAAAUCAUCAAAAGAGAAAUCUGUUUCCUGCUGAGCGACGAGGUUAACCCCCAAUUUUCACCGCAACCGAAAUGGCAGCGAUCCAAAACAGCAGCGAUCCGGAACGAUUGUCGCCGUCCACCAAUUCCUACCGGAUUCGUUAGUGAGGCGAAUUUCAUGACGGACAGCAGAAAUUGCAAGAACUCACAAGAACUUGCGGAUUCAGGUUCAAUCACGCUAUAACGAGUUGUCUCUACAAAGACAGACACAUAGACAUAUAAGCAGUAGAUUGUGUCCUUCCAGAGGAGAAAAUCUACUUCUAGACUUCAAGAAUCAGCAUCUCCUCAUCCAUGGUGUCAUCGAGGUAAAAUGACGUCUAAAAACCUUUCACUUGUUCAUCUCCACCCAUUUGCAUGGUGUGAAAUACGAUCCGCCUGAAACACGGAGUGAUUUAUUUUGAAAAGAAGCUGGAUGUUUUAUUUUGUGUCUGUGCCUGACUUCCUUUCCAGCACGUGUUAAUCUGUGCUGAAUUUAUCAUGCAUGCUCUGGCGUCCGGAAAAAAUAGAACUCUGGAAAUUGACACGUUAACUUGAAUUGUUAUGAUCGGUGGGUACGGCCUUUUCGUAGCCGUUCAGGGUGCGGUGGAAAUUGGGGGUUAGACUGAGUUUGUCUGAUAAAGGUUAAUACCAUCAUCUCAAACUUCAUUCUGUUACAUGUUUCUCUUCAAAGUUCUUAUAGAGGCAGAAAGACCAAAACCAGGACUGGAUGGUCCUGAUCUUCAGGGCAUUAAAAACAGACAGGACUCUGUAGUGGAAAUCACCGCAUUGAAAGGUCAACUGGACUUAGUUGAGAUGUUUCACCAAAUGUCUCAACUAAGUCCAGUUGUCCUUUCAACUAAGAAUUGGAAAUCAUAGAUGCUGCAUCGCUUCAAAAACCAUCGACUGUGAACUCAGUUCAUCACUGCAUCCACUAAUGAGAUUCAAACUGAUCCAUGAAAAAGGAGACCAGAUAAAACCAGAACGACCAGACUUCUCUGUUCAUGGUUCACUCCAGUGUUCUCAGACGGUUGACUUAAAGCCUUCAAUGUUUUCACUCCAUCCAAACUCUGUUAGUGAACCUUCUCCACAGUCCCUCAGACUGUUUCUGCUUCAUAAUAAAGAUGUUCAAACCUUUGGGGUCCUCACAGUCUUACAGCCCUAAAGUUCCUCAUUUCCCCUGAAAUAACGCACAUUUCUUUCCCUCCUAUUGCAGCUGACAGCGGAGUAAUGAGAGUUUUAGAAGAAGAAAAAGAGCGGAGAAGAUAACAGACAGAGUGAGAUGUCUUCCUCUCGAGGAGCCUCUUUUCCUGCUCUUUCUGUCUUUAUCUUCUUCUCUUCUUCCUCACAUACACUCUUCGGUGUGUUUCACCUGUCAGGCCUGCAGAGCCAAACCAAAUUUGGAAAAAGGGGACAGAGUUUGAGGAGCGAAGGCGGCGUGAGGACAGAAAAGUGAAGGCGAGGGAGAUAAAGAGAAUGAAGUUGAGUUUGAGCGACAGAGUGGGACGAUAAAGGUGAAGAAAUGGGGGGGAGGGCUGAAGUGGAUGGAGGGUUUGUUUCGGCAGUGAGCUGCUGAGUAAGUGUGUGUGUGAGUGUAGUUACUGCCGCAUUAUGUUUUAUUUAGCAGAGUGUGUGUUAGUGUGCCCCUACAAGAUGUGCACAUGAAUACAAAGCAGUGCUGUAGAUGUAGUUAUACUUUAUACUCUAUAAGGUGUGUGUGUGUGUGUGUGUGUGUGUGUGUGUGUGCACUUGUAUCUUUCUGAGGACAAAUCAGGUGAAAGUUUAACAAAGUUCCAACAAAGUUUCUGAUUGAUUGAAUCUUUUAUGACGGUUCUGGGGGUCGAGUUCUUCUUUCGGGCCAAGGUCUGACUUCAUGACUGGAGCAGGAUUCAGCAGACCCAGGUCCAGAGUGAAUCUGGGAUGCCUCAAAACCUGCAGACAGGAAUCUUAUUUGAGGACCUACAGUACACAUGGACCAGGUCUAUGAAAUGGGGGGGGGGUGACUAAACAAGAGAGUAACAGCUGUUAGCAUAUCUGCCUGUCAUCUAGCCCCGCCCCCUUUGUCCUCCAGUGGUUUGGUUAAGUCACAGCUUUAUGGUUGACCUCAUCACCAUUGUGACAGUAUAUCUGGACUCUAGAGUUCACUGUGAUGCUGUCUUUGUUGAUCCGAUUCCUUGGACCCGGGUUAGGUCUAGGACCUGCUGAGUGUUACUCUCCAAGGGUGACCCAAAAACUGUGUUAGACCUGUUUCCAUGUAAAAACCAGGACCAGGUUAAAAAAUGUCAGUGUGUGUGUUUGUGUGUGUGUGUGUGUGUGUGCGUGCGUGCGUGCGUGCAUGUGUAUAGACUUUACAUUCUCAGUGUAACAGGAUCUUUCCCUCAAACACUGUCUGUGUGUGGGUUCACAUGAACUCCGGGGACCAGAUCUGAAACAGAUAACAGUCUUAAUAAAGGAUCCGGUUGGUUUUGGUAGACCACCAUCUCUUCAUUUGCGUCAUGCUGUGAUCAUUUCUGAAGGUACGAGCAUGGACCAGGAGCUGUUCAGACCUUCACAGCAGGUCCGAAUGGAUCAUGAAUCUAGAUCACCAGAAAACCUGACCAGUGAGGAUGACUGAAGAGCCGGACCCACAUGGACCCAGGAUCAGAACUGAAUGGAUUUAGGUUUACAGAGUCACUCCAAAGAACUCAUGGACAGGCAGCUGUGAGGAGAUGGACUGCUUUUGGAGGAGGACUCUGAGGGUCAGGUGUUUGUUACACAUCAGGAUGGAGACUACAACUGUGUCUUUCUUUAACUCACCUAAGCCCCACUUCAGCUCCCCCUCAGCCCCGCCUCUUAGCUUUGGGUUACCUUGAUGAAAAGUUGGGAGAGUUGAUAUUUCCACUUCGGCACAUUUGUGGUUUUUGUCCAAAUCUAAACAAGCCGAGAUAUUGUCCUGCAUUUUUACAGAAAUCCUGAUGAGUCAAAGCUGAUUUGUUGACAGCAGAGAAUCAGAGUUUAGAGAAAUCACAAGAUCGUCAGAAACAAAGAGAGCGAUUAAAACUGUCAGAGAGACGAGGCUGAUUAUGUAGAGGACUUUGAUAGAUCUGGACUGUUUUGUACUCCAGCUCUGAUGCCUUUCAGGGCGCCACAGGAUCCACGGCAUUCCAGAUCUCUGAUAAGUCCUCAGAAAAGAAAAACCCAACUUUCUGUAACCGUGAGAAAAACCCACUUCAUGGUGACUGUAGAGAUCCCAGAUCUACCCUCUAUCUGAUCUCAAAGACCGUCUCUCAGAGAAACCCUCCUCCUGCUCCAGAUCCUGAUCCUGCUCCUGAUCAUGAUCCUGAUUCUGUUACUGAUCCUGUAGAUGUUCCUCCUUCAGGCGGCUCUGUCACUCUGCAGAGAGGACCCCUCUUAGACUCCC
rnacentral:lncRNA from 1 species